AGCAGUAGCCACGGUAAUACGAAGGGUGCAAGCGUUACUCGGAAUUACUGGGCGUAAAGCGUGCGUAGGUGGUGGUUUAAGUCCGUUGUGAAAGCCCUGGGCUCAACCUGGGAAUUGCAGUGGAUACUGGGUCACUAGAGUGUGGUAGAGGAUAGUGGAAUUUCCGGUGUAGCAGUGAAAUGCGUAGAGAUCGGAAGGAACAUCUGUGGCGAAGGCGGCCCCCUGGACGAAGACUGACGCUCAGGUGCGAAAGCGUGGGGAGCAAACAGGAUUAGAUACCCCUGUAGUCCCUGUCUCUUAUAA
rnacentral:rRNA from 1 species